UACGUAGGGGGCAAGCGUUGUCCGGAUUUACUGGGCGUAAAGAGCGUGUAGGCGGCCAAACAGGUCCGUUGUGAAAACUGGAGGCUCAACCUCCAGACGUCGACGGAAACCGUGUGGCUAGAGUCCGGAAGAGGAGAGUGGAAUUCCUGGUGUAGCGGUGAAAUGCGCAGAUAUCUGGAGGAACACCGGUGGCGAAGGCGACAUCCUGGACCGGUAUUGACGCUGAGGCGGCGAAAGCCAGGGGGAGCCAAACGGGG
rnacentral:rRNA from 1 species